UCACUAUAUAUAGGUCUCAAAAGCUUUGACUAAUAAUUCAAGAAUAUAUCAAGGGAAUCUCAUGGAACAACUGUUUAAUAGCAAUUAAAAAUAAAUUUUAAAUAAAAAUAAAAAUGAUAAAAAUGUGUUAGAUUAUUUCAGAGUAAUUUCAUUGUAUUUAAACCUAAUAAAGACUAAGUAGAUUAUUUGAUGAAUUGUAUGAUAAAUAAAUCGGACGGCCAACUUCAAGACCCUGUAGCAUCGACGAGAAAAAGUAAUAAUUACCGAGGACACUCAUCACUAAGGAAAAGAUUAUCAUUGACUUUUGGAACGUACUCCAAAGGAAUCGGUUGCCAUUCCAAUUGAGGAUUCCAUAUUUGAAUACCUUUAGGUGGGAAGAGUCCUGCGAGAACGAGUUGUAAGGAUGCUUUCGUUCUUUUGUAAUUCGAACUACGAGCUUUGACUUUACUUGCAAACUGUUAAUUUAUGUAUAUUCGAUAUGUUUAUGCAAAACUUCAAUAUAAUGGCAUAAGGGAUAAUGCAGACGAGAAUACAUUCACGUACAUCGUACACGUAGAUUACGAUUGAUUAAUUACAUUCUUUAAACACAUUAACAAGCUCAAUAAAUUGUAAUAAAUUAUGAUUAAGAAGACAUUCAUGAUUAAGGCUUGUUACACGUUUAUAUUAACAUCUGAUAGGAAUAAAUUGAUAUCAAGCGAUCGAAUUUAAUCUUAUGUGAAAAAAAUAGAUAGAAACGUCUAAAUGAAAUCGUUAAUAUUGAAAUAAUAUACCUUAUUUAUUAAUAUAAAAAUAAAGAUACGCGAUGCCGAUUAUACGAGAACUGUUUCUUGAAGAAGAAAGAAUUCUAUUAUAACAAUGUUUUUUUCGAAAUAAUAAAUAAUGUUUAUCUACAAAUGUAAAAUCUAA